rnacentral:rRNA from 1 species
CACGUAGGGCGCGAGCGUUUGUCCGGAAUUAUUGGGCGUAAAGAGCUCGUAGGCGGCCUGUUGCGUCCGCUGUGAAAGCCCGGGGCUUAACCCCGGGUCUGCAGUGGAUACGGGCAGGCUAGAGGUAGGUAGGGGAGAAUGGAAUUCCCGGUGUAGCGGUGAAAUGCGUAGAGAUCGGGAGGAACACCAGUGGCGAAGGCGGCUACCUGGACCAGCACUGGACACUGAGGCACGAAAGCGUGGGGAGCAAACAGG